GAAAGUUUUAUUUGAACCCCAAUUAAUGUUUCUAAACGGUAACACUGUAUGUGACAUGCUUGUGUACUACAAGACCCAGAAUGCAUUGCGAUAACUGGUGACUCGUCACAGCCGUUAACUUGUUCCUGUCCGCAUCCGUCGCCCUUAAAUUCGAAUCAACUUGAGCGCACGCACGGCCUUGGCUCGAGACACGUUAGCCUGAGCCAUCACCAGCUCGAUAUCCCUCUGCUCCAGACCCCCCUCGUCCACCUGGAAACGGACACUAAACGAGCUCCUACCUGGUCCAGGGAGCCCCGGCUCCUCCUCUCCCUGCCCUGGAUGCUUGUUGGCGGGGACAGAUCUAUGAGCGCUCUCCCCCGGCAUGCUUCUCUUCUGGCUCUGGCUCUGACGCAACAAUAAAAGCCAGAACAGACAAGUCAAGCUCUGACUGGAUCUUAUGGAGAUGAUGUCAGCAGAUUUCUGCGACUCAAUGCUGCCCCUCACCUGCAAAGAAAGCCUGUCCAUCAACGUCGGCGACAUGUAUUGUCCCUUGGCGAUGAGCGCGCUAACGGUUUUGGCAUCGGAGAUUUCAGUCCAGCGUAGCUCCAACUGUUUCAGCGCCGCGUUGACGAUCGCCACGUCCUGCUGCCCCUUCCUGCCGGUCCCCCACUCGGCCAGGAACGCCACCUGCUUGUAGUUGAGCCUACGGAUUCGCCACAUGACCUCGGUUUGGAUGGAACCCAACACCGGAUCAGAGUUGGGGACGCCCAUGACCCAGAGCGCUCGCAAGACGGACACGAGGGUGCUGUUCCACACGGACGGCGUCUGGAAGAGAAACAACUCUUAUGAGCACGUGUUUGAUUCCGCUUAGCGAAUAAAAGUUCCUUACGUGCUCCGUUAUCGUAUCCAUGAUGUCACGCAGCCUUGAGUCCAUUCCUGAUGAGUCUUGGUAAAACCUGACCCGCGUCUUCUGCACCAACUUAAUCCAAGCCAACAAAGUACUAGCAGCUUGGUUAGCAUUUCCGCCGUGUUGUUCCCACGCGAUCAAAAUGUCCUCCGGCUCCGUCGCCUUCUCCACCGUCUCAUCCAACUGCGUGCGAAUCGGCAUCAUCGGGAAAGCGUCGUCUUUCGGCAUCAGCCUGCCGUCACACAACCACCUCUUGGACACCAAAGCGCAACACCGAGUCCUCUGGAGCUCAGGCAUCCUGGCUGCUGAUGGGGGCGGGCGGGCGGCUGGAGUCUGGGAGGUGGCCCGACACAGGAGGCGGGCGUACCUGCCCAGGAAACGGGUCGCCAUCGGGGUGAAGUGAUGAGGUUAGGCGGCACCGGGCUCUUAGGAGAGAACGUUCCCACUAUUCAGCAGACCCAAGACACCAUUCCACAUUAAACCUGAAACGGCAAAGGACAACACAAUGAUUUAUUACCGUCAACAAAAUGUGAUAAAAAUCAUUCCUAACUCAUAUACUCCAUCUUGUCCCACUGUGACAUGGAGUUAUCUAAACGGGACACCCAAGAGUCUCCGGCAUAGAACGUCACGUAACGUCAAAUGCUGACCUUGUCGCGGAGAGGAAGAGCUCCCAAAGCAGCACUUUCGCCUCUUCUCGCGGGACUUUUCGCAAACAACAGCCGCCGGCGACGAAGCGCAGCACCGUCGGCCGUCACAAAAAGGCACAAUUCAUGUGAAAAAUGAAUGACAUACUUGCUUAAAAGCGCUUCACAUGGAAGAGUGUGCCGAGAGGGGGCUGUCGCGGGGAAAUGACGUAGACGGAAGUAAUACGUCAAUUCUGGACGCUCGUGGACUAAAAAAAAAAGAAAUAAAUAGCUUUCCAUUUUUUUUUAUUUUAAUCAAUUAUUUUGACGAGCAUUUUUUAAAUUAACAUAGAAUAGCUGUUCUUCUGUUGAACAUUAAUCGUCGACUAAAGCCAAUGAGUAAUACCGCCCCCUACGGGACUGGAGUACUGUAUCUAGUUACUUUGUGGGUAUUCAUCUUGAAUUCAAUGCAUUUGCUGUUUUUCGUUUAUUUUUAUCAUACCGCAAUAAAGCAUUGUUAUUUUCCACACCCUGUAUAAAUAUUUAAGGUAUAAAAACACAUGUAAAUUACUAAUUACAACCAACAAAUGUUGCCAGUGUACUACGCUUAGUAGUGGUUACGUUUAUUUAUGAAGAAUGAAAGUUAUUAAAAUUAAUCGUAUGUAAUCUUCUGAUUGAAGCGAGGCUCGACUGAGAAAUAAUCGAGCUGCACUUGAACACAACCCACGUGCAUGAAGAUGCAGCCAUAAUGUGACGUAGUUACAAAACAUACUUGCUAUUCCGUCUAGUGACCAGCAGAGGGCGUGAGCGUCCAAUGUUGCUGCGACCAUUCAGUUGACUGGUCGCUAUAUAACAAUAUAAAUGGUUUUUUUUUAUAAGAUUAAACAUUUUAAUGCUGUUUAAUGUGUAUUUUUACUAUUAUAUUCAUACAUGUUUUAGUAUAAAUAUGUUUGCUAUUGAAUAUAGUCCACAAGACAGCUAAGCCAGACUAACAAUUUGUCAAUAAAUGACCCACAACUAUAACUGAAUUCAGCAUUUUUUUAAUAAUUAACUAAAAAAAAAAUGUAUAUAAAAAUCUGUACAUCAGCAAAAAGAAACCAAUCAACAGAAUACAGGUUUUAGCGAUGAUCUUUCACCACCAACACCCUGUUACAGCAGUUACACAACAAGAUGCUGACGUGUCCUCCAGUAGUACUGCUAGUUAGAAGAAACCUUAGGAGCUUUGGUGGCACAAAAACAAAAGUGAGUGGAGUUCUAUCCUGAGUGGAACGCUUGAUUGGAGGAAAGAUGGCUGCAUUAAACCACAUUAUUAGCACUUGAACGCCAACCAUGCUACCGCAAUGACUUCUGAAGUCAAAGGCACUUCCAGUAACGUUUGGCCUUAUUAGCCUGCAUAGGAGGAGAGGUUGGCCGUUCCAUAUUGCAUAUUUCUCGGGAUUGAUUUUUUUUUAUGUUAAGGCAGAAAAAUAUGAUUCAAAUUCUCGAUGGGAGGUAAAAGAAAGUCCCUUGAGGAAUAUAAUGAUUGUGCGGGAAACGAGUGGCGUAGCGUGUCAUUUCACAUUGUGGUUAAAUGCCGCUGGAGUCAUAGCAUGAAAGAUUCUCAGCAACAUAGCACACGUCAAUAAAACAAAACAAAAACAAAACGAUGGCACAUUAAGCUACUGUGGAAAUAAAUGUUUUCCAUGAGGUCAUGGUAAUGGUAACGGUUCUAUUUCAUUUGAACAUGCAUCAGAUUACAAUUGAAUCCAUCCCAUAAUCAGUUCACAGUUCCACAUGUCCAAAAGGAGUAGGAAGAAGCAAAGCUUAUUAAAUCCUACCCCUCCAUCUGGUACUUUUACAAUCAGUAACUGUUACAUUUGUUCACUUCCUGCUUUCCUAAUAUAGUUUAAGUGAUUUAUUUUAUUUUGUUUUAAUGAUUUAUUUUAGUUUUAUUUUUUAUUAAAUCCUACCCCUCCAUCUGGUACUUUUACAACUAGUAACUGUUACAUUUGUUCACUUCCUGCUUUCCUAAUAUAAUUUAAGUGAUUUAUUUUAUUUUGUUUUAGUGAUUUAUUUUAGUUUUAUUUUUAUUAAAUCCUACCCCUCCAUCUGGUACUUUUACAAUCAGUAACUGUUACAUUUGUUCACUUCCUGCUUUCCUAAUAUAAUUUUAGUGAUUUUAUUUUGUUUUAAUUAUUUUAGUUUUAUUUUAAGUUAUUUUUAUUAAAUCCUACCCCUCCAUCUGGAACUUUUACAAUCAGUAACUGUUACAUUUGUUCACUUCCUGCUUUCCUAAUAUAAUUUUAGUGAUUUUAUUUUGUUUUAAUUAUUUUAGUUUUAUUUUAGUUUAUUUUUAUUAAAUCCUACCCCUCCAUCUGGUACUUUUACAAUCAGUAACUGUUACAUUUGUUCACUUCCUGCUUUCCUAAUAUAAUUUAAGUCAUUUAUUUUAUUUUAAUUUUUGUUUUAUUUUUGUUUUAUUUUAUUUAUGUCACGUACCGAAGUACGAGGUGAUAUGAGCAUCCAAUGACAUAAUGUGUACCAUAGUGCGUGUCAAUAUAGUGAUAUAUAUAGCACAUCAUGACUGGUUCAAGACUCUUCAUCCUUGUAUUUAGCAAACAUCAACUGCUUGUAUUGUUUCUUGAAUUGGCUCAUCGUUGUGCAUUGUUUGAUUUCCUUACUCAAUCCAUUCCAUAGUUUGAUUCCACAUACUGAAAUGCUAUGGCUUUUUAACGUAGUCCUAGCAUAAAAGUGUUUCAAAUGUACU